rnacentral:ncRNA from 1 species
UUUCCCUCAGGAUAGCUGGCACUCGGGAAACAGUUUUAUCCGGUAAAGCGAAUGAUUAGAGGCAUUGGGUCGAAACGACCUCGACCUAUUCUCAAACUUUAAAUGGGUAAGAUGCUCGUCUCGCUUAAUUGGAGGCGGGCUUCACCUCUCUAUAAACGUGAAUGUCU